CCACUUGUUCAUCUUCCUUGUCUUUGAUGACUCUGACAGUUUUUGAAGAAUGCCGGCCAGUCAUCGAGUGCCCCUGGUUUGGGUACAAGGUGCGUUUUCCUAACUUGCGGGUCUGAAAGAGCGUCCAUUCCCCCUUCACGCCUGGUUGCGGUUUCGGCGGACUAGAAUUUCUACGCAGAAGUCUCCCUCAAGAUCAGACCGUAGCCCUUCCGGAAACCUCCAUGUUCAUCUGAAGGCAGAGCCAUCUGGAAUGCCG
rnacentral:lncRNA from 1 species